AGAUAUGUAGUAAGUUACCUGAUAGCUUCUCCUGCAGUGAGUUGUACUUCACCUUUUAUCGGUGGCAUUCUGUGGUUCUUCUGGACGUUAACAACGUUUUACAGGGGUUCUUCUGGACUUAUACAACGUUUACAGGGUUUUUCUGGACGUUAUACAACAUUUUACAGGGGUUCUUCUGGACGUUAUAAACGUUUUACAGGGGUUCUUCUGGAAGUUAUACAACGUUUUACAGUGGUUUUUCUGGACGUUAUACAACGUUUUACAGGGGUUCUUCUGGACGUUAUACAACGUUUUACAGGGGUUCUUCUGGACGUUAUACAACGUUUUAAGGGUUUUUUCUGGACGUUAUACAACGUUUUACAGGGGUUUUCUGGACAUUAUACAACGUUUUACAGGGGUUCUUCUGGACGUUAUACAACGUUUUACAGGGGUUCUUCUGGAUUAUACAACGUUUUACAGGGGUUCUUUCGUGACUAUACAACGUUUUACAGGGGUUCUUCUGGACGUUAUACAACGUUUACAGUGGUUAUUCUGGACGUUAUACAACGUUUUACAGGGGUUCUUCUGACGUUUACAACGUUUUACAGGGUUCUUCUGGACGUUAUACAACGUUUUACAGGGGUUCUUCUGGACGUUAUACACCGUUUUACAGGGUUCUUCUGGACGUUAUACAACAUUUUCAGUGGUUCUUCUGGACGUUAUACAACGUUUUACAGUGUCUUUGGACUAUACAACGUUUUACAGGGGUUCUUCUGGACGUUAUAACAUUUUACAGUGGUUCUUCUGGACGUUAUACAACGUUUACAGUGGUUCUUCUGGACGUUAUACAACGUUUUCAGUGGUCUCUGCGUUAUACAACGUUUUACACUGUAAAAGGUGUGGAGUGGGAACACUGACAUUGAAUACAGGUAUAGUGAACCUGUCCAUUUAACUUAGUUGUAAUGUGUGUGUAGUUGCAAUAACGAAUUAUAGGUUUGUGUUUUUCCAUGUUAAAUCAUUACAGCCAAUGACCCUCUAAAAUAUCUCUUUCACUUUCAUCAGUUCUUUGUAUGAAUGACACUCCCAUGUAAAACUCAAACCUCAACUCGCAAUAUGUCACCUAAGAACACAUUGUAUCUUCACGUGACAUGAAUCAUUCAAAUGUAUAUUUCAUACUUUUAAUUCAGGCAAAUCAGAGUAAUCAUGGUACUGUCAGUGAAAAGCUAGGUCAACAUCAUCAGUGAAAUGGACCAGUGCCAUAGGUUCAACAGCAGGGAACCUUGCACAUGCAUGUGGACAUUUCUCUACCUUCUGUACUACCUGGCCUCACUCCCACUCGUUUACCCAACUUACUUUAGAAUGAAUUCUCACAAGUGUCUCUCUUUUCUUUCAGUUUAAAUUAUACUAUUUUCAUUUUUCUUACAGCCAAAAUAAAGUAUUUACUACAGAAGUCAGGAAUGGGUGUGUGUGUGGUGUGUGAUUAUCAUAAAACUGUUUAUCAUCACAGAAGCAAUUGGAUAUUUUCAAAUUCAUUGAGAGAGAGAGAGCGAGAGAGGAGGGAGAGAGAGAGCAAGAGAGGAGGAGAGUGAGAGAAAGAGAGGAGGGAGAGGGAGAGAGAGAGAGAGGAGGGAGGGGAGAGAGGAGAGAGAGAGAAGGGAGAGAGAGAUAGAGAGAAUAGAUGAAUAGAGAUUAUUAGACUGUUGUUUGCAUCUUGCCAAUAAUCAGGUGAACUGGCGAGAAACAGACACCGCCCAUUGACUGUUUUUCCUGAGAUUGUAUGUGCUAAAAUAUAAACAUUGUUGUAGAUAUUAUACAAAAUGGAUCAUUGUAUUAUUUGUACCAUCUGUGAUUUAAAAAAUGUUCAUGCAUUGGUCCGCAAACCCCCAAAAAGGUUGUGAAAUAACUUUUUUUGUGUACCUCCUAUGUAAGAUACAUUUAUGUAAAACAGGAAACAGAACAAGAGGCAUUGAGACUUCAAAGUUGCUUUCUAACUGUGGUAUUACGGUUUAAUUUGUAGGAUAUACUCCAAUUGUUCUGUAUGAUCUAUGGUCUCUUUCUUUAGAGAGUUUUUGCAGGUUUAUGGACAAAAUAUUUCAGUGGUCUUUUUUAAAACGUUUCAUUUAGAUUUCAACAAUUUGUUUAAAGAAACACAAAAGAACAUUAACAAAUGUAAUGUCUCUGUAUACUCAGAGUAAUAAAUAACAGAGUCAACUGAAUUCUGUCAUUCGUCUUUCAGAGGAGCAACAGAGCAGCUGCUUACUCUAGCACUCUGUUUUUCCGCCUGGUCUCAUAGACUACACGUAAACAUACUCUGGCACUCUGUUUUUCCAGCCUGGUCUCAUAGACUGACACGUAAACAUACUCUGGCACUCUGUUUCCACGCCUGGUCUCAUAGACUCCACGCUAACCUACUCAGCACUCUGUUUUUCUCAUAGACUACACGUAACAUACUCUAGCACUCUGUUUUUCCAGCCUGGUCUCAUAGACUACACGUAACAUAGUAAAAGUAAAUCCAGAUUUCGAAACACUCAAUUUAUUAUAAUAUGUUACAUUUGGUAUGGUUACAUAAGACAGAAGGUUACUUAUGACAAAAAACAAAAGUAGAGUGGUUGGUCAGGUUGGGUAGGUGUAAAACAUGAACAUCAAGCAACCCAAAGGCUGUGUGUAUGAAUAACAUCACAGACAAUUUUAGAAUUUUAUCUAAUUAGCAACUUUGGAACUACUUAAGAAUUUUUUGCAACUUUGCAACUACUUAGCAUGUUAGCUAACCCUUCCCUAACCUUAACCUAACUCCUAACCUUAACCCCUAACCUGGCUAACAUUAGCGUUAGCCACCUAGAUAACUUUAGCCUCAACAAAUUAGAAUUCAUAACAUAUCAUACGUUUUGCAAAUUCGUAACAUAUUGUACGAAAUGGAAGAUGGACAUCCACAAAUGAAUAGCAUGCCAAACGUUACAUAUCAUACUAUUUGGAGUGUUACGGAUAUAAGUUUACUAUGUUACGUCUACCUCUGAGUCCAGGUUGGUAUUUAAUUCUGUUUCUCCUCUUUCUGUUUAUUGUGUACAGGCAACAUAAAAAACGCAUGCAUUCACAUAAAUAUUGCUGUAGAUUCACACUUUUACAUUUUAAGUUAAAUCAGCACAAUUGAAACAAGAAAGUUAAUGUUGUCCGUCCGUCCAUCCGUCCGUCUAUUUACUUCUAUGUGAACAUGUGGCUGGCCUGCUGUGUGACUCUGAUAAAGGUGGUCCUGCGACUGAGCUCCUUCAGUUUGGCAGCUCCUACGUAGGUGCAGGUGGAGCGCAGACCACCCAGAAUGUCCCUGAUGGUGGCCUCUACAUCCCCCCUGUACGGUACCUCCACCGUCCUGCCCUCUGAUGCUCUGCAGGAGGAGAGGGGUAUGGAGGGAUUGAGGAAGAGGGGAAAACUUGUCAAUAAAUCUAUGGUCUUUCCAUUGGGUUGAUCAGGCACAUUGAUUUCUUAGGUCUUCGACAUCAUCUACAGUUUUGUACUAAACAGACCAGAGCUAACUACUAAAUGAACAUUUUGUGAAGGAAAUGUGUGCGCUUGCUUGUAAGUUACUGUAAGAAAAACUGAAAGGAUACUGUAUUUAUAUAGUGUGGGCGGAAGGUAGGCUAGUGCAGGGGUUCCCAACCAGGGGUACAAGGACCCCCAGGGGUACUUGAGAAGACUCAUGAGACCAUAGGCCUUCUGGUAAAAUGCACAAGGGGGUACUUCAGGGGUACUCCAGGCAGAGCUAAAUUCAGU
ensembl:lncRNA